GGCCUCGUAGCUCAGUUAGUUAGAGCGUUUGCCGUGCUAAAGCCUUUCACUUGCUGGCUUGAGUUCAAAACCCACCGAGGCUG
rnacentral:tRNA from 1 species